UGGGGUGUUCAUGACUGUCGCCACAAGGAAGAUGCUGGAGUUAUUUGCUCAGGUCCUGCUGGUCCCACACCCCCACCUGAGCUUUCUACAACCUCCACAGAUUUGACUACACAGAAAAUUAGAG